UUUCCUGUUUUGAAAUUAAAAACGUGAAAUUCAAACCUUCUGUUCAAGUCUGAACAAAGAGUCAUGCCUUUAUGAUCAUUGAUGAUUCUGCGCAAGGUACGGUCUCUUAACUAAGCGAAUAAGGAAUCUGUUUUGCUUUGAAAUAGAAACAGAAGUUGGCUUUAUUAAUGUCCUUAGUUUUCUUUCUUAUUGGAGACAUUUGUUUAGCUUCACUCUUGAGCUGCCUCAGUGUGGGCAAAGUCCCAAAUCCAAGUCCCAGAACUUCUACCUGUUAAUUGGAUAACAGGGAAGUCUGGAUCUAGUAAGUCAUGUGAUAAUUUAGUAACAAUGUAGUAAAAAAAUUUAAAACUCAAUGAAAAACACUGUGUUUGUCCAAUGCAGGUGCAAGUUUUGCCUUGGCCAGUUAUUUCUUAGCUGCGACUUUAGAAAUCUUUUGUUUUCCUUAAUGAUGACUUCAUGAAGAAUAUAAGUAGUAAGUACAAACAUGCAAGAUAAGAAAUGAGAAUAAGAAAAUAUUUACAU
rnacentral:lncRNA from 1 species